rfam:Oryza glumipatula chromosome 12, whole genome shotgun sequence.
CGGAGCCGUAUGAGGCGAGAGUCUCACGUACGGUUCCUUUGAGAAGGGUGUGAUACCAACACCUAUCAAGC